AAUUGCUCCUCUGUCUCUCUCUGGGCCAGGAUGAGAAGAACCAAAUGAUGACCACCAACGUCUGGCUAAAACAGGAGUGGAGCGACUACAAACUGCGCUGGAACCCCGCUGAUUUUGGCAACAUCACAUCUCUCAGGGUCCCUUCUGAGAUGAUCUGGAUCCCUGACAUUGUUCUCUACAACAAAUGGGGAGUUUGCAGUGACCCACAUGACCAAGGCCCACCUCUUCUCCACGGGCACUGUGCACUGGGUGCCCCCGGCCAUCUACAAGAGCUCCUGCAGUAUCGACGUCACCUUCUUCCCCUUCGACCAGCAGAACUGCAAGAUGAAGUUUGGCUCCUGGACUUAUGACAAGGCCAAGAUCGACCUGGAGCAGAUGGAGCAGACUGUGGACCUGAAGGACUACUGGGAGAGCGGCGAGUGGGCCAUCGUCAAUGCCACGGGCACCUACAACAGCAAGAAGUACGACUGCUGCGCCGAGAUCUACCCCGACGUCACCUACGCCUUCAUCAUCCGGCGGCUGCCGCUCUUCUACACCAUCAACCU
rnacentral:sRNA from 1 species